CAGUCGCCGCGGGAAUACGAAGGGUGCAAGCGUUAAUCGGAAUUACUGGGCGUAAAGGGCUCGCAGGCGGUUUCUUAAGUCUGAUGUGAAAGCCCCCGGCUCAACCGGGGAGGGUCAUUGGAAACUGGGAAACUUGAGUGCAGAAGAGGAGAGUGGAAUUCCACGUGUAGCGGUGAAAUGCGUAGAGAUGUGGAGGAGCACCAGUGGCGAAGGCGACUCUCUGGUCUGUAACUGACGCUGAGGAGCGAAAGCGUGGGGAGCGAACAGGAUUAGAUACCCGCGUAGUCCCUGUCUCUUAUAC
rnacentral:rRNA from 1 species